AAUUCCAAGCUUGAGUUUGAUCCUGGCUCAGAUUGAACGCUGGCGGCAUGCUUUACACAUGCAAGUCGAACGACAGCGGGGGCUUCGGCCUGCCGGCGAGUGGCGAACGGGUGAGUAAUGCAUCGGAACGUGCCCAUGUCGUGGGGGAUAACGUAUCGAAAGGUACGCUAAUACCGCAUACGUCCUGAGGGAGAAAGCGGGGGACCGUAAGGCCUCGCGCGAUUGGAGCGGCCGAUGUCGGAUUAGCUAGUUGGUGAGGUAAAGGCUCACCAAGGCGACGAUCCGUAGCGGGUCUGAGAGGAUGAUCCGCCACACUGGGACUGAGACACGGCCCAGACUCCUACGGGAGGCAGCAGUGGGGAAUUUUGGACAAUGGGCGCAAGCCUGAUCCAGCCAUGCCGCGUGAGUGAAGAAGGCCUUCGGGUUGUAAAGCUCUUUCGGCCGGGAAGAAAUCGUGUUCUCUAACAUAGGACAUGGAUGACGGUACCGGACUAAGAAGCACCGGCUAACUACGUGCCAGCAGCCGCGGUAAUACGUAGGGUGCGAGCGUUAAUCGGAAUUACUGGGCGUAAAGCGUGCGCAGGCGGUUUUGUAAGACAGAUGUGAAAUCCCCGGGCUUAACCUGGGAACUGCGUUUGUGACUGCAAGGCUGGAGUACGGCAGAGGGGGGUGGAAUUCCACGUGUAGCAGUGAAAUGCGUAGAGAUGUGGAGGAACACCGAUGGCGAAGGCAGCCCCCUGGGCCUGUACU
rnacentral:rRNA from 1 species